GAUGAAGAACGUAGCGAAAUGCGAUAAGUAAUGUGAAUUGCAGAAUUCAGUGAAUCAUCGAAUCUUUGAACGCACAUUGCGCCCGCUAGUAUUCUGGCGGGCAUGCCUGUCCGAGCGUCAUUUCAACCCUCAAGCCCCUGGCUUGGUGUUGGGGAUCGGCGAGCCUCCGCGCCCGCCGUCCCCUAAAUCUAGUGGCGGUCUCGCUGUAGCUUCCUCUGCGUAGUAGCACACCUCGCACUGGGAAACAGCGCGGCCACGCCGUUAAACCCCCAACUUCUGAACGUUUGACCUCGGAUCAGGUAGGAAUACCCGCUGAACUUAAGCAUAUCAAUAAGCGGAGGA
rnacentral:misc_RNA from 1 species